ACCUACGGCCAUACCAGUCUGAAAGUGCCUGAUCUCAUCAGAUCUCAGAAUCCAUCUAGACUUGGGCCUGGUUAGUACUUGUAUGGGGGAACCUCAGGUGCCGUAAGCU